GGGUCGUUAGCUCAGUUGGUAGAGCAGUUGACUUUUAAUCAAUUGGUCGUCAUCCUGCACGACCCACCA
rnacentral:tRNA from 1 species